UUAAAAUGGGUGGUGGGAGCUAUCAUGUUAAUGCUGCUCUUAAAAUGCAAGCGUGCUUGGUUGCCUGAUUACAGUGAGAGAAAAACACUGAUAGUGUGGCAGGGUGUGAUAAUCGAUGCAUGAGCAUUAACAAAUAGCAUGACUCAUAUGAGGUUAACUUAAACUAAACCAUCUAAAUCAUGGGUGCUUGUUUAGAUAUCUCGUGAACUGAAAACAAUACCAAUUUAAAGUUCAUAUCUUGCCUCAUUACAGUGAGAGAAAAACACUGAUAGUGUGGCAGGGUGUGAUAAUAGAUGCAUUAGCAUUAACAAAUAGCAUGACUCAUAUGUGGUUAACUUAAACUAAACCAUCUAAAUCAUGGGUGCUUGUUUAGAUAUCUCGUGAACUGAAAACAAUACCAAUUUAAAGUUCAUAUCUUGCUGAUUGGUGGAGAAUUCCCGAGAAGUUUUUGGUCUCAUAAAGAAGCUGAAUAUUGUCCCUGACACCAAGAAGAGAGCAAAAACAACAUCAUCUUUCUUUGAUACACUGGUCACUGGAGGAAACAACAAUAGCUCUUCGAAGGUCAAGUCAUAUUUAUGUGUUUGACACACAAAAGAAUCCAAGAGCUGACUCUCUUUUGCAUGCUGAGAUCAAUCCAAGGCCAUGACAAUGCCAAGAACAACCACCUAAUGACUUCUCUAUUGCUCAGUUCCGGUUUCUGGAGCGACUACUUAUCGUCCAUGGGCACUGGUGCGAUAAGAGGAUUACCCAAAUGGUAAGAACUACAGAAUCCCUAACACUAGAUGGGCCCCUUCAUGUUAGGCCUAGAUCCCAAAUGCAGCCUGAUCACAGAAACUUCCAGAUGGAAUGUGGGGUCCACCGCGUUGUAAAUAUACUAUCUAGCCCUCUCAUCUGGUGAGAGGGAUAGGAUGAAGGCGCACCCAUGAAAUGCAGGCCAUUCCAGAAUUCAGGUGAACCAUACCAUGUGAAUAUAUAUGUUUUCGGCAAGAUUCUAUA